UCUGGCCGCCUUCUCCAGUGGAGAAGGCGACCGGACUGGUUGUCCUCUCCACUGGAGAGGGCGGCCAGAUCUGGUCGCCUUCUCCACUGGAGAGGACGACCAGA
rnacentral:pre_miRNA from 1 species